AUCUUAUAGGAGAUUUCUAUGCACCUGAGGUCUUCCUAAGGAUGUGUACAGCAUGCUCAUCUGUCUGGAACCUCUGAAUUCUUCAUCAACAAGACUGACAGAUAACAGUUCUGACCAGCUUGGCGAGUGCUAUGCAAAAGCUUGUGACUUGUGCUGCUGCUGGAACAUGGGAGGGCCUCUUAUCUGAACAAUUUCUAGUUGAGUUUGUAAUCCUUACUGCCUGAAAGGGACAACUGGUCAAGACAAGCUCCCUGAAGCCGGCUUUCACAGGAACACAUUUGAGUCACUGACACUUCAAAAUAUGAACAGACGGAACACCACAGUGUCAGGGUUGGCUGUGUUCAUCUGGGAAAGCCCUGCCUCUACAAACCUGACCUAACCUGACCUAACCAAACAUGAGAGUGGCUGAAUAACCUGCUAAUAAGUACAAAGAACUGUGUUUUUACAAAUACACAUUUACUUGACAAAUGAGCAAAGAUCCAGCGUAACAUCGAAGGAGUGCUUUCCACCAUUGCUGUAGAUAGAGCAGAUAUGUGCACCAUGUGAUAUUUCCCAAUGUAAAUGUUUUCCCAAAAUCGACAGAACUGCAUUCCCCUCCCCCCCCCCCCCCAGUCUCUAUAGGAAGAGGCUGUGGCCUUGCAGUUCUCAUUGCUUAAGUGGGUGGUGUAGGUGAUCCUGCUCUGUUGUGGCUGUGGAGGAUGGAGCUCUGUGGUCAGUUCUUUCCAGUUGCAUUUUUUUGUUCUCUUUCUGGCAGCGCUGUGCUAUUCUGCCUUGUACAUGGCAGUCACUUAACAGUCUCUUUAUCUUCAAGUUAAUUAAGAUCAGGGCUGGCUGAGCACUUUUCAAUUUAAAAUAAAGAGCAAAGGCAAUAUUCUGUUUUCAAAACUAUGUCCCUAAUAUGUCCCUAAACUUCCAAGUUCUUAAUGGAAAAAAUAUGGGGUUUCAAAGACCUUUCCCCCUGUACUUUUUGUUCUUUCUCUGUUCUCUGUCCCUUGUUUCAAGCUUUUUUACCAGGAACAAAACUGGAAAAAAGGGUACAGAGAGAUGGGAAAUAUAAUUUUUUUUUUUCAAGUCUCCCCAUGCAAGUACCUGACUUUCAAUCAGUGCAGGUUGGAACCAGCUGCAAAUUCAUUCCCGUGGCCCCAGUACGCCUGCACUGUGCAGCACCUCUGCCCUCUUCUUGAU
ensembl:lncRNA